AUACGAAGGGGGCAAGCGUUGUUCGGAAUAACUGGGCGUAGAGCGCACGUAGGCGGAAUGUUAAGUUAGAGGUGAAAUCCCAGGGCUCAACCCUGGAACUGCCUUUAAUACUGGCAGUCUAGAGACCGAGAGAGGUGAGUGGAAUUCCGAGUGUAGAGGUGAAAUUCGUAGAUAUUCGGAGGAACACCAGUGGCGAAGGCGGCUCACUGGCUCGGUACUGACGCUGAGGUGCGAAAGCGUGGGGAGCAAACAGGAUUAGAAACCCUAGUAGUCC
rnacentral:rRNA from 1 species